AUUUGCAGGAAGUCUAGCAAACCGCUUGCCUCCAGCCUUUGACCACGGAUGUACUGGCACUGGCAGUAGAGGCUUCGAGAAGGUCGGGUUUUACCCGGCCUUUUUCUUA
rnacentral:sRNA from 1 species